CAGAUAGAGGCGCGGUGUUCAUCAGUAUCGUCUGGGAGGGGCCGCAACCCCAUUGACCACACGAAAAAGGGGCCACCGCCGAAGGUUUGCCCGGCGUUGCGGCGCGGCGGCCUGGACGGCCCGGAAAAGAUCCCGCCGUCUGUCACUGCAUAGCACCCGAUCAAAACGCUGUGCCGGUGGAGCGCUGUCU
rnacentral:ncRNA from 1 species